rnacentral:rRNA from 1 species
GAACUGAAGAGUUUGAUCAUGGCUCAGAUUGAACGCUGGCGGCAGGCCUAACACAUGCAAGUCGAGCGGAUGAAGGGAGCUUGCUCCUGGAUUCAGCGGCGGACGGGUGAGUAAUGCCUAGGAAUCUGCCUGAUAGUGGGGGAUAACGUCCGGAAACGGGCGCUAAUACCGCAUACGUCCUGAGGGAGAAAGUGGGGGAUCUUCGGACCUCACGCUAUCAGAUGAGCCUAGGUCGGAUUAGCUAGUUGGUGGGGUAAAGGCCUACCAAGGCGACGAUCCGUAACUGGUCUGAGAGGAUGAUCAGUCACACUG